UGCAUUCUCCUCUGCUGCCCUGCAGCUCCACGCUCACAGCAGGAUCUUGGGGUUUAUACCAGCUCCCCACCACCACUAGCCUGGCUGAUCUGAGUCUCUCAGAGAACAGCUUCAGCAAAUACUUGUUAUGUGGCCGUUGUACUCCAGGCACCGGGAACCUAAGGCUUGGGAAAACUCAGGGAGUUGUGAUGGCUCCCAGGACUGCCCUCACAUUCACAGGAGUUGUUACCAGACCCUGGGGCCAUUGGAACUUGAGGUUGUUGCCAGAGAAGCAGGCGUCUCCCAUGUGGAUUGUAUCAAAGUCGAGGAGACAGGACACGUCAUGACCAGCACAUCAGGGAAAUUGCCGCUUAUUUAAUAACAUUUGAGAAACACGAAGAAUGGCUAACCACAUCCCCUAAGACAAGACCACAGAAUGGCUCAAUGAUACUCUACAACAGGAAGAAAGUGAAAUACAGGAAAGAUGGGUAUUGCUGGAAAAAGAGGAAAGAUGGGAAAACGACCAGAGAGGACCACAUGAAACUGAAGGUCCAGGGAGUGGAGGUAAAGAGCAGAAUAAGGCUCUCUUGUUCCACAAAUGUCAUUUCUAGGCUGCAAUGAGGAUGGAAUUGCUUUGGAGUCCUUUGAUGCCAGUCACC